UCAGGGGGAUAAUCCAGGGAACUUGGUCUAAUACCCCAUAGUAAUUUUGUAAGGCAUCUUAUAAGAUUUAAAGCUUUGGUGGAUACGGAUUGGCUCGCGUGACAUUAGCUGGAUGGUAAGGUAACGGCUUACCAUGGCUAAUGAUGUCUAGGGGUUCUGAGAGGAAGGUCCCCCCACACUGGAACUGAGACACGGUCCAGACUCCGUACGGGAGGCAGCAGUGAGGAAUAUUGGACAAUGGAUGGAAAUCUGAUCCAGCCAUGCCGCGUGAAGGGAAAAGAAGGUCCUAUGGAUUGUAAACUUCUUUUGUAUGGGAGCAAUAAGGCCUACGAGUAGGUUGAUGAGAGUACCAUACGAAUAAGCACCGGCUAACUCCGUGCCAGCAGCUGC
rnacentral:rRNA from 1 species